rnacentral:rRNA from 1 species
CCUACGGGUGGCAGCAGUGGGGAAUAUUGGGCAAUGGGCGCAAGCCUGAACCAGCAACGCCGCGUGAAGGAAGAAUGCUUUCGGGUUGUAAACUUCUUUUGUCAGGGACGAAGCACGUGACGGUUCCUGACUAAUAAGCCACGGCUAACUACGUGCCUGCAGCCGCGGUAAUACGUAGGUGGCAAGCGUUCUGCGGAUUUACUGGGUGUAAAGGGCGUGUAGGCGGGACUGCAAGUCAGAUGUGAAAACCACGGGCUCAACCUGUGGUCUGCAUUUGACACUGUAGUUCUUGAGUACUGGGGAGGCAGACGGAAUUCGUAGUGUAGCGGUGAAAUGCGUAGAUAUUAGGAGGAACACCGGUGGCGAAGGCGGUCUGCUGAACAGCAACUGACGCUGAGGCGCGAAAGCGUGGGGAGCAAACAGGAUUAGAUACCCGAGUAGUC